rnacentral:rRNA from 1 species
AGAAUAUUGGACAAUGGGCGUAAGCCUGAUCCAGCAACGCCGCGUGGAGGAAGAAGGUCUUCGGAUCGUAAACUCCUGUCAGGUGGGACGAAGGCGCGCCGGUGAACAGCCGGCGUCGCUUGACGGUACCGCCAGAGGAAGCCCCGGCUAACUCCGUGCCAGCAGCCGCGGUAAUACGGAGGGGGCUAGCGUUAUUCGGAAUUAUUGGGCGUAAAGGGCGCGUAGGCGGCGUCGCAAGUCAAAGGUGAGAUCCCUCGGCUCAACCGAGGAACUGCCUUUGAAACUGCGACGCUUGAGGCCGGGAGGGGCCAGUGGAAUUCCCAGUGUAGCGGUGAAAUGCGUAGAUAUUGGGAGGAACACCAGUGGCGAAGGCGGCUGGCUGGACCGGUUCUGACGCUGAUGCGCGAAAGCGUGGGGAGCAAA